GGGGUCCCCAUUCCUGGGGAUGUGGCGCUUGGCGUUGGGAUGGCCGUUGGAUGGGAUGGUCUUGGAGGUCUUUUCCAACCCCAAAGGUCCCGUGGUUCUAAACCCAUGGGAUGCGGGCGCCGGACCCGCCGCAGCGCUGGUUUGGGUGCAAACCAACUCCAGAGGAGAGGAAUAUCAGCGCCUCUCACAUGCUGCCGCCUGACACCCGCCGCCACAGCUGAAAACUAUCUCUAUUGUCCAGUUUGAUUGCCUGAAUCAAACUGAUUUACAGCAAAUCCAUCUGAGCUUUGAUAAAUCUAUUACAGUUUCAUUUCACUGAUUUCAUUAACGUGAAUAAAACCAGCCAUGCUUUCUGCAUAACUGCCUUUUAAUGGCUUGGCCCUGUCACCUGCCUGAAUAUUAAUCCCCCUGACUUAUUGCUCCACAGAGGGAAUGAGUAAUGGGUAUUUGAAUGUGAUCAGCACAGUACAAUGCAAUUAAGGAAGCAGUACUGUUCUGUGCCUUUAAUCCUGAACUAAUUUGAAUUGCAGUUUGAUAGCACAGUGAAUCCUGCAUAAUUAUGUAGGGUGCAUAUUAAACUCUGUGACAAACCAGAGAGGCUUUUAACCAUCGCCGCUAUGGCAGGCAAGUGAAGGCUGCAGUCAGAUGGCCAACGGCUGGACUUGAGAGCUCAAUUAACGGGGAGCCUCCAACAGGAAGCCUUGGAAAGCCUACAUUUACCUUCAUUUGCACACAGCCUUAAACCUGCCCCUUGUCCUGGAAGAGUUCCUACCUCAGCUUGUCCUGAGGCAGAGCCACCUGCAGUGCUGUUAUAUUUGUGGAAUGCAGGAAGAUCCUGAUGUCUGGGAGUCACUGUUUACCCUUUGGGAACAGUGAUGCCCUCCACAAAACCAGAAAGAUACUUCAAUAUAAAAAUGUCUGAAGUGUUCCGCUGCUGUGUAAAAACCACAAACCAAAAAGACAAGCUGGUAUGUUUCUGGUGGUCUUCAUUGAUCUGUUAGGAAUUGUACUUCUGCUGAAAUCUGUUUUCACGAAGAAUCAUUAACUGCAGUGACCGCUUCCUGCGCAAUGGCUUCAUAUGGGUUUGGCUCUUCCCCUGGCGUCAUCCCUGACCCCAGGGUGUUGUACUGGUCCCCACCCAUGCCUGCCCUUCUCCUUCUGCAUGGCACAGAGCACAGACUCACAGCUAGAAAGGUAUCCAUAGGAAUCCUAAUUGAGGGUCUGGCAGUGUCUGGAGCGCCCGUUCUCACCUACUUUAUCUCAUAAUCUGAUAAAGAGGUGAGCUGGAAAUAACAGGGGAGUUGGUUGGUACUUGGUAAGAUCAAUAAUAAAGUAAAGAUCGACUAUGGUGCAUCAGACUUCGGAGCGUAGAGUGUUCCUUUCUUUUGGAGACAGGGACUCAAACCUAUGGGGAAAGGUGGGAUUCCUCCUCCGGCACAGCUCAGCUGUAGGUGGUUUUUCUGUCAGCUGCACAGGGGUGGGGAGAAACUUCUGUCCUGGAGGCAGCGGGCAGCUGGCUCGGUUCCUCUGUGCAAAGUGUUUGUUGGUGCUGAGUCGCUUGUUUCACAACAAACAAAAUGAAAAUGCUGCCACUUUUUCUCUUGCCUGUGUUAUUUCACUCCUGGAAUGUUUCUGCCCUCUCCCCCUCUCUAAAGGUGAUGGCCACCUGCACAGGGAAGCUGCAGCGUUCCCUCCGGGAAGGUGUUUCUGAGCCGGGAUCAGCUGUGGAUUGAGGAGCAGGUGUGUGUGGAACAGCAAUACCCAGAGCAGGAACGCGGCCAGAACACGGAGCCCAAGUGGCCUCCAGAGGCACGCUGUGAGCAGCCCAGCGGCCAAACAGCCAUCGAGGAGACCGGUGAGAAAGGACAGGUGCUUCCUACUGUGAACAGGUAAUUCCUGACAUGACCCCGGAGCGAAGCACGUCAGUCUGGCUUCUCCUGCAAACACCAUCACCCAGGUCAGGAUUCCUCAUGGAUGGAGUUUGCAGAGGUCUGUACGCUGUUCUGUUCUAACAGCCCUUUUUGGCGCUGGGUAACCUCUAAUCCUGAUCUAUUCCCUGUGCACUCAGAAACGAUCGAUGCACAGUGUGCACUGAAGUUGGCCCCUUACCUCCUUUUCAUUUUAAAGCAUAAUAAUGAUUUUAAUCGCCUGUUGUUCCUGUUGGCCACCUUUACUGUGUCAUAGCAAUCUUUGUUCGUGGAUCUAUUUAGAGUAAAGAAGGAUGCUAAUGAUGCUUUAUCUUUUGUGGUGUAACAAGUACCUUUUACUAAUCCAAAGCUGUAAAAAUACAAAAGUCCCCCCUUUCUGUCUCCCCCCCAGCCCCUAAAACAAUUCCAGGCGGCGAGGGUAGCGCGCUGCUUGGGCUAAGGCUGGGCUGUUAGCUAAAUUAAGCCAUUGUGACUCAAAAUCCUCCUUUAAUAAGGUUCAUGCUGUCUACAACUUCAUCAUUUUCUGCUGAAUGAUAAUUACUUUAUUCAAUCAUGUUCAAGGUUUUAGUGAAAGCUAGCAUUGAUUGAUUAACUUCAAUUACCAUGCUUACAUUUGCAUAGAUAAAAACUGCUUUUCAAUUUGUGAGUGGCACGCUGGUGGAAACCCUGUGCUGGUAUUUGCAUUUCAAUGUGGAUAGGGAAGAAUAAAGGUGGAAGAGAGGUCUGAUCAGUGCUAAGCCCUUUCUGCUUCAGUGCCUGAGCAUUUUUCCAUAAACACUCUUGUUAUGAUGUUAGUUUGCUCCAACCACUCCGAGGGAACCGUCGGAGCCUCCUGUUUACAAGAGUGUGCGACAGUUUAACAGGGAGGGGAGAGCUGGAAUCAAAGCUUCCAGCAGAGCAGAGAUAUCACUUCGAGUAAGGGAUCCAGGGAAGUUCUGCCACCACGCAGCGACGGGCUCCACGAUCCCGUGACAUCUGUGAUGCCUGAGUCACCGCUGCUGCUCACUGACCUCUUCCCUCUCUGCCAGGCUUUGAUGCGAGGAGCCGGUCUUGCUAUGAGGAACGUGGGGAAAAUGCUUGCUUUCUGGAGAUGAGAUGAUACCCCUGUUCCCUGGAGGCUUUUCCUCCUAGAGUUCACUCAUCUCACUUAGCAAUCCCAGCACUGGGACUCUGUUCAGCACACCCAGGUUUGUCAUCGUGUCAGCGAUGUGGCCAGGCCACCUCCUCCUGCUGGCGUUCCCUCGCACCUGUGGAGGAGAAGGGAGGAGGGAUGCACUUGGCUUUGUACCAGCUCCUGAUAAAGCUCCAGCAAGUGCUCAUCCAGUUCCCAGUCGCCUAUGGCUUUAUCCAAAUCCAAUUCUGGAUUAGGGGAGAGCUGAGGGCUGAGCUGACAGACGGUGUUUUAAACUCAGGAGUGACGGAUUGUGUGUGGAUAACGGGGCACUGAUCACUUCUGGAGGGCGGGGCGCGAGGGAACGGAUGAUUUUCAGUGUCCCGGUUUCAGGCAGGACGUCAAUUUUGUGCGAAUCUUCAGAAUCAACUUGAGAGGUUCUUGAAAAAGCAACUUUAUCUUCUCUGUGCUGUACAGGCAGCAGACCUUAAAUGGGCUGAGAAUGUUUACUUCCAGGUUUAUUUUUAGUGUUUUGGAAGUCUUUAUCCCAGUUCUUUCACCACAACAGUUAAUUACAAACUGGAGUCCCCAGUCUGUUCCCUUGUUUGCCUCUUUCCUGUGCGUAAUAGUCUUAAACUCAACCGUAUGAAACAGAGCAGGGUAGGCACAUUUUUAAAAGUUACCUAAGCCAAAAAAUAUAUGUUCAGCUCCAUGUGGGGUGGGUAACACGGAGGACCGUGUGCUCCACACCUGUAUGCCAAGGCAUGACCUUCGAUAUCCACCAGGCCAGGAGGGACUGCUCGUGCCACAAUGCUCUUCCAGAACUGAUGGCUCUGUGUGAAGCCAUCUCUCUUUGGAGAACUUAAACUGCUGCCCAUCUCUUCUCCCCUUUCCUAGGAAGCCCUCCUGCCUCCUGCUAGGAAGACGUCUCAAACCACUCCUCAGUGUUAAACAGAAGGUGAUCAUUGCGUCUUGCAGAUAUAUUUUUAGUAGGAGUGAAACCGCUAGGGUUCUGUGGCCGAUGUUCUGAAAUAGGUUAAAAUGGGCAGGUACCUAUAGACUGGCCCGAAAUUGUCCUCUAAGACUCUAAACAAGGCAUGUUUUUUUCAUGAAACUCCUCACAUCCUGUCAGAAAGGCACGGAUUUGCUAUGCAGAGCACACGGGUUCAUUGGUAAGAAUCAAUGUACAAGAUGUUUGAUCUGCCACCUUUUCUGCAAACAGCGGGGCUGCAGCUGGGCGUCAAUGUGCUCAGCAAACCCACGGUGCUGUGUGGGGACUCUGCUCCGCACACAGGAUCAUCGAUCCAUGUCCAGAGGAGGUCUGCAGCACGCAGCGGCGUUCUGGUGGCUUCUUUAAAUCCUCCUCCUUGGAUGCUGGAACAUGCAUCCAUGCAACCAGCGAGUUGGUUGCCCAGAGCAGUGGGGGCUGCCCCAUCCCUGGAGGGGUUCCAGGCCAGGUUGGAUGGGGCUUGGAGCCCCUGAGCCAGUGGGAGGUGUCCCUGCCCAUGGCAGAGGGUGGAACUGGAUGGGCUUCCAGCCCAAACUGGUCCAUGAUCUCCUCCUAGCACAUUUGGUCUCUGUUCCUGGCUCAUACAGACGUGACCUGUCUUUUUCAGCCCAGAUUAGAUGUUCCCCCUCAAACCUAAUUUCAAAGGGAUUUAUUACAAAAUAUAGAUCAGAAUUCCAAAAGAAAUCUAAGCACCCACAAGAAAACAGGAGCCCUCAGCCUUUAUAGUACGAGAGGAUGACCUGUAACGAUGAAAACCAGGCAGGCCAGACCCUGUGGUGUUGUCUUCGUGCAGCCAUCAAGAAUAGAGACAUCUGAUAAUUUAACUCUUUUCUUCAGGGUUUUUCCUUUUGUCAUUCUGUGAUUGGAGAGAAUAGACAACUACAAUUUAAACCUUUGGUAGAAUUUACUCCAGUGAUUAAAAUAACUGCAUGGAAUUAGCACAAUUCUAGUGUUAUUUUUUAUCUAGAGUGGCAGAAAAUCAUCACUCCUGGGAUAAUUCUUAACCUAACAGAGCGACCUCUGUGAAAUACAGCCAAAACUUUUACGAUUUUCUCCUUCAUGCUAAUUUAAUGUUGUCCAAUUGUUUAAUCUAAAAAUGAACGCAUUCCAAAUAAAGUAAUGCAGUUUACAGCGAGGCGCUGUAGGAAAUAAUUAGGUUGCAAGUUCUGGAGGCUUUAAUACAGCUGAAAUUAUAGAAGUAACUUUGCAUUCUCGGUAUGGUCCUAUUAAAUGCAGCCGGCAUUGAUGUCGCGAGCUGUCAGGAAGCAAGAUGAAAAAUAGUUUUAAUAGCUGCUCUUUGACCUGUUUUAUAUUUUAUGUCAAUUAUAACAGCACACAACCAUGCAUAAUUAUGAAGCAUAGAUGCAUUAAAAUGUACACGUAAUUUGUGUUCUUAUGGCAACCGUUGCAUUAGGAUCCAGAAAACAAACUGAUGACUUCCUAUUGUUAAAGUCAUCGUGAUAUCAAAUAUGCAAGAGUUCCGUUUCUCUGCUCUGUUUGUGAUUGCAAACAGAACUCUGUGAUCACAAACAGAACUCUGAGAGACAAACAGAAACCAGCGUGGAAGUGUCCAUCUGCCAUCCGUCGGGAGCCUCAAGCUACAGGGAAGAGCAUCACCACAACUGCUGGAUUAACACAGCCGCACGUGCGACCGUGCUGUCCUGAGUUUGGAAAUGAUCCGGUUCAUUCAUGGUAGAAGGUUCCUAUUGUUCUACAGGAGAUCCACCACUGUGCCUUGCCUUCGUCUGGGGCUUACUCAGGAGCAACUGUUUCUCUAGUUUCAAAUCAGAAAGACAUUAUGAAAAACUUCUUCACCAAAUGGUUCUCAGGCCCUGGUAGAGGUUGUCCAGGGAGGUGGUGGAGUCCCCAUCCCUGGAGUGGUUUAAAAACCAGGUGGAUGAGGUGCUCAGGGGUCUGGUUUAGCAGUGGGUGGGGACCGUUGGACUCAAGAGUCUCAAAGGUCUUUUCUAACCAAGCGGUUCUAUGAUUCUAUGAAACGGGGGCAGUCAUCCUGCCUUUUGAAGCAAGUUGAUAAAUAUCGAAACAGCAUCCAGGACCUAAAAAAUUGUAAUAUGCUAACCCAAAAUUGCACAGGGAAGAGCCUGAGUUGAAAGGUGACUCUGAAAAACAGUCAAUAGAAUCAUAGAUGCUCCUCUCACAUCUUGCUGUGGUCCCCAGCUGACCUCCAUGUGCACAGGAGAUGUUUUCUGUAUCUUCUGCGCCGUGUCAUGUCAGCGGUGCCUUGUUAAAUUGCACAUCAAAGCAUCCAGGACGGCUCGUUUGAUGGGAGGGUUUCUUAUUCAUUAAUGCAAUCACACCUUUUGCAUAAAACUGUAUUUGGGGGCGUUUUGCUCUCCCUGUGGGCUGUGGCAGUGAUGGGAACACCUCCAUACCGAGUCUGUAGAUACCUUCCUGCUCAAUGCCUUGAAGAGCCCCAGUGCCUGUGUUCUGGAAGACUGAGCUCCCUUUGUAGUUUUGAAAUAUCAAUUAAUUAUCUCACCCAAGCUUGCUUCUUUUCCUUUCCCUUUCUGAAGGUCUGAAGAGCGUGGUAUCCCUUUGUGUUACAAAACCCCAGAGCGACUGAGGAAAGCAGGAGAAAAACUUGUAUCAGAGGCUUCGCUAGCAGCAGCAAGAGGAGGAGGAGGGUACCAACUGGAUCUGUUGUCUGAUGCUGCUGCAUGCAUUCUCACGUAGCCCAGGACACAAGGCAGUUGGUUGCAGCAAGAAAGGGCAACUUUUGGCCUUCAGGCCAUACCAGUGGCCUUUCUGCUAGUCAUCGACAGCCACAUCAGCAUGACUCUGUGGUGUUCCCCACCGGCAGCAUCGGGGGUUAUGAAGACCCAGAAGACUCAAGAAAACAAAAUCUGCCAGAUUUCCGUAGUUCCUCGUUACCACGAUGUUGUGAAAAAUAUAAAACCUCUCACCCGUACAAACACAAGCGUCGGCACCGACCGCCUCUCGUAUCAGCGCGCUGCAGACCUGCCGCACAGCAGAUUUAUUUAACAACUGAAUAGGUAUGGGGGACAAUGCAUGGAAAACAAAGGUCCCAGCUACCCACCGGGACCAGCUCCUGGUGAUGGCCCAGCCAGCGCGGCUGCUCGCGGCGCCCAGCGUCCCGAAGCGGCAGGGCAGCAGGUUGGGGAUGGUUGUGUGGGGUGGGGACGGCUGUGUGAGCUGGGGACAGCCUGGCUGCUGGGACAGAAGGGGCUGGCGGCAGCCGGGGAGGAUCCUGGCACCCCGUUUGGCUCAUCCCGAGCAUUCUCCGCAGGGAUGUGUGCACCCGCUGCUGGUGUAACCUCCCCUGCCCUCAUUGUGCUGUACAAAGGUAUCGCAUUUCCAUACCGGACUGCCAGGGGAUGUGUCCCGCUGUUUCCAAGUGACUUUCGGAGUUGUGUUUUCCUGCUCGUGCCAAGCAGGGAUCCUCCUGGGCUUCCCCCUGGUUUUGCUUCUUCUACUGCAGCAGGAGCGUGGAGAAGGCUCAACCAGAGCCACAAUCACAGGGGAAGGAGAGCAGGAUCCCAGUCUGUCCUGAAUUGCUGGGAUAACAGCAAAGAGGUGAGGGAUGUUUUUCCCUGAGCAGUAGGGAAUGCUGCAGGGGUCAGGGCUGAGGUUUAAAACCGAGUGGAGACAGGCAGACUUGCUUUUCUGUGUUCUCAAGGUCCAUUUGAAACCCACAGGUUACAGGACAAAUACGUGGGGCAUGGAAAUAGCCAGCAGUGCCCAGCCACGGAGGAGGACCACCAGAAAGCUGGGGAGGGUCUUCUCACAAGGGCAUGGAGUGAUAGGAAGAGGCGGAAUGGCUUUAAAUUGGAAGGGGGGAGAUUUAGACUAGACAUUAGGAUGAAAAUUCUUCACACUGAGGGUGGGGAGGCCCUGGCCCAGGGUGCCCAGAGCAGUGGGGGCUGCUCCAUCCCUGGAGGGGUUCCAGGCCAGGUUGGAUGGAGCUUGGAGCCCCUGAUCCAGUGGGAGGUGUCCCUGCCCAUGGCAGGGGUGGCACUGGAUGGGCUGUGAGGUCCCUUCCAACCCAAACUGUUCUAUGAUUCUAUGAACACAAGACUUUGCAGGUGGCUUCCUUGUAACCCUGUUUGAGGCCUCAAAAAUGAGCAGCUUGUGCAGCAGCUGUGGGCACACACACUGUUUGUGGUGGUGAGUUUGUGUUCAGACGCUCUGUUGCUGUCACUAAUGCACCAAGGACGAGCCUCUGCAGCUCGGAAUACGCUCAGUGCUGAACCCGAAUGCGCUGCUCUGCGCGGGACUUCAGCAACAUUUGCGGUCUUCUGCUCAGCGAAGGACAGCCUGGUGGUGCAGAUUUAGAUAUGAAAAAGAAAGACUAUAAUCUUAUUAGUGGGGCUUUUCAUCGCCUUUGAGUCUUGAAUUUGUACAGAAAGAAAUCUAGCAGGUGGCAGUCAGGUUUCUCCUCUUACGCUUGUUUAAUACUUGCAUCUUUCAGGAAGAAAUGGGAAGAAAGCACUUUCGAUGUAGAAACGAGCCAGGCAGGCACUAUUCUGUGACGAAAAUGAACUGCUGGGAUCAGCUUUUGGCACAUAUGCUUGAUAGUAGCUCAAAGAGCUUAAGCCUUGUAGCUAAAGCCUGAGCAUUGCUGGGUUCCUGAGCCACACUCCCAUUGGAUUUUGGAGAGCAGAGGGCUGCCCCUGUGGGAUGCUUCUGGAGGGUUCUCCCUAUGGGAUGCUUCUGGAGGGUUCUCCCUAUGGGAUCCUCCCUGGGGGAUCUCCCUGUGGGAUCUUCCCUAGGGUCUAUCCCCAUGGACAGGGUGCUCUGGGGUGGGGGAUCCAGCAUCACCCCUUUUCCUUCUCCAGGGGCUGGAAAACCACAGGAAAACCCCUAAGGUGUGGCAGGGCUUGCCAGGAUCCAUAGUCUUUCCCCAGAAGCACGUCAGGACACGACCUUCUGGCCAAGGGCGCAGGUUUUCUAGUUCAGGGCUGAGCUGAAAACUGACAUGCAAUGAUCUCCACUUGGGCCAGCAUGAAAAUUCCAAGAGUUUCCUUUCUCAGGGACACAAAAUUGCUGCAGGGUGGCUGAAUGGCCCUUUGAAAAGUGCAUCCACCUAUUAUCCAUCCAAAAUCUUUCUGCUUCCUGUUUCUCCUUGUUCGUAUUUGCCCUUGGCUGAAUUUAACAAUGGGCUUGCAAAUAACUUUGCCCGUUGGGAGUUUUCCUUCUCAUCUCAGAUUCCAUCCUCCUGCAAAGUUGCAUCUGCCUGCCUUUCAGUACAAAUGUUCCUGCCUUAGUGGACCUGAGUUUGGAAAAGUGACCACCCCAGAUUCCCAUUUAGGUGAAGGAAGCGGGCACGGUUUCCCAGCCUGCCUGGGAGCGGGGGAUCGGGCUCUGCCGCUAGCUUGGGAGGCAGCAGCGGGGCUAAAUGAACACUGAGUAAAACCAGUGAAUAGGAAAAUAAUGGAGCGAUUGGGGAUUUAUAGCACAUCCUUGAAACCUCUCAAUAAAUUCCAGGGUCCUCUUUGUGCCAAGGAUGAAGCGUUUCAAGGAACCUGACCUCGAAAGCAUUUUCUUAACAAUCCACUGUUUUUUAAAUAAUCAAAAUCUUAGUUUUUAAUUAUGCAAAUCAAAGUUGCCAAGGAACAAUUGCUUGAUUAGACACGUUGGUACUGACCUAAUAAAUUGUUGUGAAUAUUUGUUACAGGAAAUUGAUUUAAUUGAAGCUUUGUUGGUCGCUGUGAGUGCGCUCGGUUCAGGCCACAGCACCCAGGAAUUUAUAAAUGGGCUCGGAGUGUUGUUCAGGCACCAGAAAAUAAACCUCCGAGCUAUUUACUACCUCUAUGAUAUAUAAAGUUUGCAGGUUUGAUUUUGUGUGAUUAUGUUCAGCAAUGGUGACCUUUAGAGGCAACAAUAUUGAAGUGUAAUGAGGAGAUGUUUGAUCACUGGUAUACAAUGAGGAGGUGGCAUGACUUCUCCCUUCCUUCCCGGAACCUGUGAAAUCCAGCUGACAGGCUUUAACCUUUAGACUGCUGAAGGUUUAAAAUGGGUAGGGAUUUAGCCUGUUUAUACUCCACAGUGGCUAUAUGAAAUUUUAUAUCAUCUCUUCCAUCACUCCACGUGGGGCUAUCAUAUGUUUAAUAACGGCGGCCACCAGCCAAGAUUGCACCGUGCCGCAGGCUUUGGCGCCCAGCUCAGCCGGCCGUGCCAGCGGGGCUCAGCGCGCGUCCCGGCAUCGCUGCGGGGCUGCCGAUGAGUUCACUCUCCAGCAGCCCCAGCCCAGCCCUGCCUGCCCUUCCCAGAGACGCUGCCUUCCUUCGGUGCGUGCAGCCACGUGUCUGCCCGUGGUAGGCAGGGCUCGCCGGGAAUGGUGAAUUCUCUCUUGCAGCAAGAUUUAAGACUAAAUAGACAUUAUUCAGGCUGAGGUUUUUGCAGGAGGGAGCAGAGUACAGACUGGGAACCCAAACACUUCACAUGGAGAAUAGCCUGGAACCAAAGUCCUCGUAAGAGCACAAGAUUAUCAUAAGAUUAUCCAUUUGCUAAUGAGUCAUUAAUACAUACACCCUAAAGAGGGCCCACGAGAAAGCUGAAGAGGAACUGUUUACAAGGGCAUGGAGUGAUGGGAUGAGGGGGGAAUGGUUUUAAAUCGGAAGGGGGAAGAGUUAGAUUUGACAUUAGGAAGAAAUUCUUCACGCUGAGGGUGGGGAGGCCCUGGCCCAGGGUGCCCAGAGCAGUGGGGGCUGCCCCAUCCCUGGAGGGGUUCCAGGCCAGGUUGGAUGGGGCUUGGAGCCCCUGAGCCAGUGGGAGGUGUCCCUGCCCAUGGCAGGGGUGGGACUGGAUGGGCUUUGAGGUCCCUUCCAACCCAAAACAUUCCAUAAUUCCAUGAUAAAUCCAGACCCCAUUCAGGGGAUCCUUCACACAAGUUUUAUCUCAACGAUUGUGAGGUGUCUGAUAAAGCCACCAUCAGAGGUUCCAAACAAAGCUAGUGGUGCUGUUUGGCAGCCGGACAGGCUCAGUGUUCCUCCUGGGCAGCUCCCAGAGCUGGGCAGGGGCAUGGGCAGGCAUCUCUGCUCCCAUCCAUGGGAACGCCAGCCUGGCUCAUGGCUAACGAUCAUCCCUAGUAACUUGCGAGAUGGUCUGGAUAAUGAAACAAAGGAAAGAGAAACACAGUCCCAAAAAGUCUACCCAGGACAGAAAAUGUCUUAAAAAGCCCCAGUAUUUAGAGGCUUAAUUAGUAUAUUGGGUCAUUAUGACACCCGGCUCAUUUCAUUACGCUCCUAAUGUGUUAUUAGUUGGCAGCUAAAUACUGUCUGCUGGGAUCACCGAGUUUUCCUCUUGUCGUGCCGGUCGCGGUGCCGGCUCCGGCCGACAGCUUACCUGUAGCGAGGAAGAAAUGGAGCCCCAAUUAGAAAGCUUUCAGCCCAGCACCCAUGGAAAAGCCAAAAGCUGAUAAAGGUCAGCGUGAAAUUUGAACGACAGGACUAAAGUCUUUUACUCAUAAUUUUGUGUUUGCAAUAGAAUUCAGAGCAAUUCACAGCCUUAAAGGCCUUAAGUGAGAACAGCAAUUAAUUGUAAUGAAUAAUCUGACAAAUCUGGUUGACAUAUGGCUGCUAAUGCCCUCCUUUCUAGUGGGAGCAGUGGAGGGAUUAGAUUAACUCAAAUGAAAUCUGGGACCGCCAUGCCAUCUGCAUGUUCAGCGAGGAGCGGUACACGUUAAAUGGUGAGUGGGUAGAUAUCUGUCUUGUACUCAUCCCUCCCUGAGCCCUCGGCAGAUAUGGGAAUAGCGGGUUUAUUAUUGCGCCAGCUGCCCGUCAAUCCAAUAAUGCUGAAAAGUCAUGGAGUACAACCUGGGAAGCUAAUAUAGCAAAAAGCUGUUAAAAAUUAACCAGGCAAAAUUAACAUAGAUUGAUAGAUUCCUCUGUUUGUAGGGUGGGUGUUUCCAGUUUGGCAAAUGGAACGGUUGUGUUCCCUUACCUGUGUUUACAAGCAGUGCCCAUAACAGGGGCACUUCUCUGUGAUUCCCUGUGUUCCUUGAAUGAUGGAUCCUGGGGAGGAGGUUACAGGUCCCAUCAGGAGCACCUUUGCUGCUCUGCCUGGGACAGAGGGUGCCAGCACUGGCUCAUGCUCCCCCCAGCUCGCCCCAAUGUCGCCUCGCUUUGGGAGGAGGCGUUAGGAGAAGCAUCCCGGGCUUGGACAGAGGGGACACUGGAAGACUGGCUUUCCCAGGCACUUGGUGGAGACUCCGCGGCUGGGGAAGGCGCUUCUGGUGUUUCCAACACCAUCUCUUUCCCUGACAUGGACUUAUCUGGGGUUCCUUGUUCUCUUUCAAGACAGACCUCAGCUCGGGACAGCAUUUCCCGCUCGCAGAGCAGGGACAGUUACAGCCGUAGGCACUCAGGUUCGCACCUCUCACAGUACCAAAUCACCAGUGUCUCCAAAUUUCCACUGUGCUGACGGGGGCAGGAACUGACAGCUUCCCUGCCUCUUGGUUAAUCUGGGCAGAGCUGCAUAGACCAGGCUCUUUGGCCUCCAGAGAGAGAUGUCUCAGCUGAGCCAGGUGGCUUUCGGGCCCUUUCCUCUCCAAAUCACAAAUAACAGCCAAAACUAGAGGAAAAAGGCCUAGAGGACAUAGGAGUGAAGAGCAAGGUUGCUAUCACAGCCUGCCUCACUAGGUUUUCCAGGGAAAAUGCCCUGUCUAAACGACAGUUGACCUCAAGGACCAUAAACCUUUCUCACUAGGAAUCAGCUGGAUGUGCUAGAUGCCACCUUAAUUCUGAUAAAGUCAGAGGCCAGGCAGCGCUUUGCCGUGAGUCAGCACAGAUUCUGUGUUCGAAGGGGUGCAUGGGUUUUAGUGCAUCAAAUUGCCGCUGAAAAAUGCCCAGAGUCUGCCUCCAAAAGCCUUUCUGCUCAGUCUCGUGGUGGGAAACGAGAUCUUGCUGCUCAAACCCACAGGCCGGUGUUUUUCUGAUGUCAAAGGAGGUGUUUGGGAAGUGCAGGAAAAGGGGGUUAAUCCUUUUUUAAAUGUCCCCCCCUUGGGUCCCACAGUGCCUCCUAAAGGGGUAGUUUGGUCACACCAGACUGGGACAGUUGUCGGCUUUUCCCCCCAGGAGGUGUUUGAGAGCAGAGCCGUUCGCACCCCCCGGGCCACUUUCUGCCCUGUAUAGUAAUACAAGAGAAAAGCAGUGCAUUUGGAAUGCCCCGCACAGCAUGGUACCACCUUCCUGGCGGUGAUGCUGUUCCCACUGGGAACAGCUCCAUCCAUUUACUGGGCUGGGAAGAUGUUUGGUUUUGUGAAACCAAGCGGCAGCCACGGGAACGGUUGUUUGGACGGUGUGGACCCAACAGCAAGCGGGUCGGCAUCCUUCCCAGCCGUCCUGCGCCCCGCUCCCAACCUGCCUCAUCUCUCACAGGCAUUUGAGAAUCCCUCCCGUCUGGCUCAGGAAAACAGACCCAACCAAAGCAAACUCAUUUGGAGUUGGCUUCAGACCGGUUUCUGCUUUGUAAGCGGAUAUGGAGGUGAGGAGGUCUCGGAGGGAGAGGGCAUUCCCAAGUGGAAGGGCUUGUCCAGCGUGGAGGCAAACACUGUCACCUCUCUUCCCUGGGGAGUCACAGCCCCUCAGCACCCACCGCUCACACCCCUUCUGCUGCUUUAUAACCAUCACCUGGCUUCAAAAUCAUGCCUAAACUUAAAAAUGCAAACAAUGCUACUACUUCUAAAUUUAUCCAGUUAAUGAAGUCACUACAUAAAUUUAGCACAUUAUUUUUUGUUAUUAAUUAUAACAGUGAAAAGGGCUAAAUUCAGAAUAACUCUGUUUCAAAGACCUAAUUGCAGAGGACUUCGCCUUAAUAUUAACUAGGAUAAUUAUUAUGCAAAGCAUACCCACCCAGAAUGUUUGCAUAGCUAUCACAAGCGCUUUCAUAAAUGAUGCUUUAAUUAGUCUUAAUUAGAAUUUGUUUAAGUCAGCAGGGAAUGCAGAGCCCGUGAAAUGAUGUAUGUAAUAAGCAUCAGGCUCACUUUUUACUUGGGGAAUAGAGCUGACAAAAUCACAUCACGUUAAAUUGAUUCAGUCAGAAUUAAAAUUCUUAUGGUAUUAAUUAAAUGGGGGAUCUCAUUAGCAGGCUGCAGGGUGACAGAGUGACUCUUUGGCGACCAGAUGUGAAGAAGCAGCACUGAACAAGAGCACCAUUAGACCAAAAAGUCGUCCUAUCGAGGUGCCAGAGCAGCAGCGCAGGGUUUGGUGCAGCGCGGUACAUCUCCAGCAGCAAGGAACCAGCGAUUUGGCUCCUUUGAGCCAACGCGGCUCCAUAAAGCGGGCGUCACUGGGGAUGGUGCUGGUGGCCACCGGAUCCAUCCUGCUGAUGGUUUCCAAGGCACUCUUGGGUGCCGCCUGCACCAGGACUCAGCCAAAGGGCAGGGAGAGUGCCAGGAUUUGCCACCUCCAUGCCAGCACCCUCUGUUUCAUCAUUGCUGGUGUCCGUGGUGAUGCUUCCAGCCGGCAAACCGCUCGUAACAGCAGGCACACUUUUUCCUAUUUAUCAGCCAGAUCCGACUUUCAAGGCUCGUCAAGGAUAGAUGAUAUUUACCUCCAAUUAGCAUAUGUUUUGUGAAUGGCAAGGGGCACACGCUGCUGCUGCCUGCGCUGCUGUCACUGGGAACCGCUCGCUGCUUUGAUUUCUCUGUCCGAAAUCUCAAUAUUUAACAAACAAGCCUGCACCCUGCCUGUAACCGAGGGGUGAAACCUCAGCCACGGUUCAGGGAUGUACCAGCACUCUUGAGGGAAGCCUGGGUGUCCUCUUCUGCAUCCUCUUCCCCUGCACCCAGGGGAGCACCAGGGCCCCCAGUGGGAUGGGAUGGGGCUGAGAUGAGACUCCUCUGUUCGAGCAGGGGACGCUCUCCUUGCCAGGAAGAAAUAGCAUCAAAAUUCUCAUCAGAACUGCACCCACAGAGCUGUUGGGUAUAGGGACCAGCAGCUAUUUCUACUGUUGAGGAUGGUCAGAAGUUUGUAGAUCCCCAGGAGAUGCCGUGUGUCUCCAU